GAUGAAGAACGUAGCGAAAUGCGAUACGUAAUGUGAAUUGCAGAAUUCAGUGAAUCAUCGAAUCUUUGAACGCACAUUGCGCCCCCUGGUAUUCCGGGGGGCAUGCCUGUCCGAGCGUCAUUACAACCCUCAAGCUCAGCUUGGUGUUGGGCCCCGCCGCCCCGGCGGGCCCUAAAGUCAGUGGCGGUGCCGUCCGGCUCCGAGCGUAGUAAUUCUACUCGCUCUGGAGGUCCGGUCGUGUGCUCGCCAGCAACCCCCAAUUUUUUUCAGGUUGACCUCGGAUCAGGUAGGGAUACCCGCUGAACUUAAGCAUAUCAAUAAGCGGAGGA
rnacentral:misc_RNA from 1 species